GUUGUCGUCAGCUCGUGCCGUAAGGUAUUGGAUUAAGUCCCACAACGAGCGCAACCCUCGUGGUUAUUUGCCAAUGUCAAGUUUGUAACCCUAAGCAGACUGUCGGUGAUAAGCCAGAGGAAGGUCCAAUUGGAGUCAAUU
rfam:Lupinus angustifolius cultivar Tanjil chromosome LG05, whole genome shotgun sequence.